rnacentral:rRNA from 1 species
UACGAACUGUGCGAACGUUAUUCGGAAUCACUGGGCUUAAAGGGUGCGUAGGCGGCCUGUUAAGUAGGGUGUGAAAUUUGUCGGCUCAACCGGCAAACUGCAUUCUAAACUGGCAGGCUUGAGUGAGUCAGGGGUGUGCGGAACUUCCGGUGGAGCGGUGAAAUGCGUUGAUAUCGGAAGGAACGCCGGUGGCGAAAGCGGCACACUGGGGCUUUUCUGACGCUGAGGCACGAAAGCUAGGGGAGCGAACAGG